UUGGUGUAACGAUAGACAUUAAUCACAAUAAUGAAGACUUUACUGAGCCUCUGUAUUGCAGUGAUCUGGUUAUCAGGUGUCCAGUCUGCAGAACUUACCCAAUCAGAGCCAGCGGUGAUAAAGCCAGGGAAUUCUCACACACUGACCUGUACAGCUUCUGGAUUUGCUUUUAGUGGCUACUGGAUGUGCUGGGUCAGAGAGAUCAGAGGAAGAUUUCAAUUUCUAGCUGAUGUUAGCCCAGAUGGGAAUACCAAACGCUAUCCUGAUGAUGUUAAAGGAAGAUUUGCAAUCUCCAGAGAUAACACUAAUAAAAUGUUAUAUCUGAAAAUGGAAAACAUGAAAACUGAAGACACUGCAUUGUAUUACUGUGCAAAAGACUCACAGUGA